AACCUCCGCAAUGUGAGAAAUCGCGACGGGGGGAUCCCAAGUGCCAUUCUUAACGGGAUGGCUUUUCUUAAGUGUAAAAAGCUUUUGGAAUAAGAGCUGGGCAAGACCGGUGCCAGCCGCCGCGGUAACACCGGUAGCUCGAGUGGUAGCUGUUUUUAUUGGGCCUAAAGCGUUCGUAGCCGGUUUGAUAAGUCUUUGGUGAAAGCUUGUAGCUUAACUAUAAGAAUUGCUGGAGAUACUAUCAGACUUGAAGUCGGGAGAGGUUAGAGGUACUACCGGGGUAGGGGUGAAAUCCUAUAAUCCUGGGAGGACCACCUGUGGCGAAGGCGUCUAACUGGAACGAUCUUGACGGUGAGUAACGAAAGCCAGGGGCGCGAACCGGAUUAGAUACCCGGGUAGUCCUAACUGUAAACGAUGCGGACUUGGUGUUGGGGUGGCUUUGAGCUGCUCCAGUGCCGAAGGGAAGCUGUUAAGUCCGCCGCCUGGGAAGUACGGUCGCAAGACUGAAACUUAAAGGAAAU
rnacentral:rRNA from 1 species